AGAGUGAACGCUGGCGGUAGGCCUAACACAUGCAAGUCGAACGGCAGCACGGUAAGAGCUUGCUCUUAUGGGUGGCGAGUGGCGGACGGGUGAGGAAUACAUCGGAAUCUACCUUUUGGUGGGGGAUAACGUAGGGAAACUUACGCUAAUACCGCAUACGCCCUUCGGGGGAAAGCCGGGGACCAGCAAUGGCCUGGCGCUGAUAGAUGAGCCGAUGUCGGAUUAGCUAGUUGGUGAGGUAAUGGCUCACCAAGGCGACGAUCCGUAGCUGGUCUGAGAGGAUGAUCAGCCACACUGGAACUGAGACACGGUCCAGACUCCUACGGGAGGCAGCAGUGGGAAUAUUGGACAAUGGGCGCAAGCCUGAUCCAGCCAUACCGCGUGGUGAAGAAGGCCUUCGGUGUAAAGUCCCUUUGUUAGGAAAGAAAAGCAAUUACGGUUAAUACCCGGGUAGUUCUAGACGGUACUCGAAAAGAAUAAGCACGGACUAACUUCGUGCCAGCAGCCGA
rnacentral:rRNA from 1 species